rfam:Oryza sativa Japonica Group DNA, chromosome 5, cultivar: Nipponbare, complete sequence.
UUAAAGUACAUACAUUAUAUUCUAUGUCCAACUGUAAUCGUCAUCUUAUUUGAACAUUUUUUAUGACUAGUAUUUUUAUUAUUAGAUGAUAAAAUAUAAAUAGUACUUUAUGCGUGACUUAUGUUUUUUAUAAAAAAAAUUAAAUAAGAUGAAAGAUUAAAAUUAGACACGGAAACUCAUAGUUGCGCUUAAA